AAGUCGUAACAAGGUUUCCGUAGGUGAACCUGCGGAAGGAUCAUUAUUUUAAAAAUAUUAAAAAGUUUUGUGAAUUAAAGGGACUGGGGGAAAUUGGGGGGAAUGUGUUUUACACAAACUCUCCUCCUCUCUCUCCAUCUCUUUUACUGAAAAUUAUAAUAGUCUUAUUUAAAAAUUUUAAAUUAAACAACUUUUAACAAUGGAUCUCUUGGCUCUU
rnacentral:misc_RNA from 1 species